AGCGCUCUGGGUGGGGCGGUUGUUGGGGCGCCCCUGAAACGGUCCGAUCCCACUUCCCAGCGGAGACCCCCUGCCAGGACCCCGCCCUCUGCUCUUGCCCACCAGACCCUGAGGGCCUAGGACGAGGGCAGCCCCUUAAGCCUGAAAUCCUCUGCUGGACCAGCCUUUGCUCCUGCCCUGGGUACUCUGGCACAAGGUCGCUGCCCCUUCUGUGUGCCCAGGACUCCUCCAAGAACCGGGAGAAUCCGUAGUCUCUACCCCAAGGACUUGAGGCCAGCCAACCUGCAAUGAUUCACAGUUAAUUUAAUGCUACAUGAGUUCUGAUCAGCUCCUCCCAAAGGGGAGGCUCGACCAGGUUCCAGGAGAAGCUGCCGUCAGGGGCCAGGGUGCACUGCAGGUCGAUGCCCGAGUCUGGCACUUCCAUGUCAUAGCAUACAGGCUGCCCAUCCUUGGUCACCAGGCUGAAGGCUGCGGCUGGGAUCUGGGGACAGAGCCAACCAGUGGACUGAGACAGCGGCGUGGGGCUCAGAAGCUGCCUCAGGGUUUGCCAUCUCUACUUUUUCAAAAUCUUCCCCGUGGAAGGCUGGGCCACUGGCUUCUGGGACUCAGCCUGAGAGAACAUUCAGCUUCUGACUCCAGGCCAGGAGAGACCGGGCCUCUGGGACCUCAUCAGCAGCCCCGAGGUCUUCAUUGCCGCACCAGGAAGGGCUCCUGGGUGGCCUGAGCCUUUGCUCUACGCUGACUUACAUUCUGGGCACCAGGGGCCUUUUGUCCCUCCCCUGUGCCAGGGGAAGGGGGCCAUAAACCUCUCAGACUCCCUAGUUCUAGGUGGACUGGGUGCUGUGGGGGCUCUGAGCAGGCGAGUGCUGGACUUUACCAUUGAAGUAGCUUGGGGUGUCGGUGGGCCGCCCCCGGGCCAGCACCAUGUUCCAGCUGGAGCUUCGAGCCUCCGCCUGGCUGUUCCAGGAGUGCACACCGGAACUUAGGGUGUCCCUUGAGCUCUGAGAGGCCUUUGAGGGAUUCUGAAACACAGGGUGGCAGACUCAGGCCCCUGGGCUCAGGGUAUCGUCUCAGGCCUGGGCCUCAUUUGGGACAGAGAGGCCGGGGGCGCUCCCCUGGGCCUAGGCUGGAGCACGGUGCCACUGGGCUCAUGAGGGAUAAGUUCAUGAGGGGUCCCUGGGCUGGAGGAGGGUGAAGGGUAAUUCUAGGGGACCAAAGCCCAAACCUCCUUCUCCCCCACUAUCCCUAAAAGCCAAACCAUUCCCGAAUCCCAAGCCUGCUGAAGAUGGAUUUCUCACACUGCACGGGUGAGGACCCCUCCGGGGGAAAGGAGUGGCCACACCACCCUCUCUUCACCCAGGACUUGAACACAGCCCAUCCCCCUGCUGGCCUGGACGGAGCCCCCUGCUCUGAGUCCUGGAGCCAGG